UGGGGAAUAUUGCACAAUGGGCGCAAGCCUGAUGCAGCCAUGCCGCGUGUGUGAAGAAGGCCUUCGGGUUGUAAAGUACUUUCAGUCGGGAGGAAGGUGUCAAGGUUAAUAACCUUGGCAAUUGACGUUACCGACAGAAGAAGCACCGGCUAACUCCGUGCCAGCAGCCGCGGUAAUACGGAGGGUGCAAGCGUUAAUCGGAAUUACUGGGCGUAAAGCGCACGCAGGCGGUUGAUUGAGUCAGAUGUGAAAUCCCCGGGCUUAACCCGGGAAUUGCAUCUGAUACUGGUCAGCUAGAGUCUUGUAGAGGGGGGUAGAAUUCCAUGUGUGGCGGUGAAAUGCGUAGAGAUGUGGAGGAAUACCGGUGGCGAAGGCGGCCCCCUGGGCAAAGACUGACGCUCAGGUGCGAAAGCGUGGGGAGCAAACAGG
rnacentral:rRNA from 1 species